rnacentral:rRNA from 1 species
AGCAGCCCAGAGCCUGAAUCAGUAUGUGUGUUAGUGGAAGCGUCUGGAAAGGCGUGCGAUACAGGGUGACAGCCCCGUACACAAAAAUGCACAUGCUGUGAGCUCGAUGAGUAGGGCGGGACACGUGGUAUCCUGUCUGAAUAUGGGGGGACCAUCCUCCAAGGCUAAAUACUCCUGACUGACCGAUAGUGAACCAGUACCGUGAGGGAAAGGCGAAAAGAACCCCGGCGAGGGGAGUGAAAAAGAACCUGAAACCGUGUACGUACAAGCAGUGGGAGCCUCUUUAAUGGGGUGACUGCGUACCUUUUGUAUAAUGGGUCAGCGACUUAUAUUCUGUAGCAAGGUUAACCGAAUAGGGGAGCCGAAGGGAAACCGAGUCUUAACUGGGCGUUAAGUUGCAGGGUAUAGACCCGAAACCCGGUGAUCUAGCCAUGGGCAGGUUGAAGGUUGGGUAACACUAACUGGAGGACCGAACCGACUAAUGUUGAAAAAUUAGCGGAUGACUUGUGGCUGGGGGUGAAAGGCCAAUCAAACCGGGAGAUAGCUGGUUCUCCCCGAAAGCUAUUUAGGUAGCGCCUCGUGAAUUCAUCUCCGGGGGUAGAGCACUGUUUCGGCAAGGGGGUCAUCCCGACUUACCAACCCGAUGCAAACUGCGAAUACCGGAGAAUGUUAUCACGGGAGACACACGGCGGGUGCUAACGUCCGUCGUGAAGAGGGAAACAACCCAGACCGCCAGCUAAGGUCCCAAAGUCAUGGUUAAGUGGGAAACGAUGUGGGAAGGCCCAGACAGCCAGGAUGUUGGCUUAGAAGCAGCCAUCAUUUAAAGAAAGCGUAAUAGCUCACUGGUCGAGUCGGCCUGCGCGGAAGAUGUAACGGGGCUAAACCAUGCACCGAAGCUGCGGCAGCGACACUAUGUGUUGUUGGGUAGGGGAGCGUUCUGUAAGCCGUUGAAGGUGGCCUGUGAGGGUUGCUGGAGGUAUCAGAAGUGCGAAUGCUGACAUAAGUAACGAUAAAGCGGGUGAAAAGCCCGCUCGCCGGAAGACCAAGGGUUCCUGUCCAACGUUAAUCGGGGCAGGGUGAGUCGACCCCUAAGGCGAGGCCGAAAGGCGUAGUCGAUGGGAAACAGGUUAAUAUUCCUGUACUUGGUGUUACUGCGAAGGGGGGACGGAGAAGGCUAUGUUGGCCGGGCGACGGUUGUCCCGGUUUAAGCGUGUAGGCUGAUUUUCCAGGCAAAUCCGGAGAAUCAAGGCUGAGGCGUGAUGA